AAUUAAAAAACGAUUUGCAACUUCUGCCAACUUCAACCAAGCAGUGGCUGCAGAAUUCACAAACGAAUCAACGCCGAAGGCUGCAAAAAUUUACGUGGAUUCGUCUUCAGAUCCAACUGCUAUUUCGGCGCAAAUUUUGGAAAACAAAAAAACUAUAACUACUAACCAGCAAAAGUUUGAUGAGCGCCUUCAAAAUUUGGAGAAGGCUCGUCACAAAAAUGCAAUCGAUAAUACAACGCUAAUGGCACAAAACCAGACCAUUCGCGAAUGUAAAGUGCGAACUUGAAGACGAGAUGCAAAUAGAGAUCGCUGCAACGUUGCCCUUGGCAGGUAUUGUCGCAGCAAAUAAUGUCGAAGAAAAGCUGGAAAAACAUGAAUACUUCGAAUCAAUGAAAAUCUACUUGUUCCAAAUGAAAUGAAGCAACGGAACGGUGGAUGACGUUUACCGAAGGGUCAUGACCAGGCAUGAGCAGAAAACGAGCACACGCUCAAAGAGCGUAAUC